rnacentral:tRNA from 1 species
ACUUAAAUAGUUUAUAUAAAAUUUUAAUUUGUGGGAUUAAAGAUGUAAGAAGUUACUUUAAGUA